UGGGGGAUGUUGCACAAUGGGCGAAAGCCUGAUGCAGCGACGCCGCGUGGGGGAUGAAGGCUUUCGGGUUGUAAACCUCUUUCGCUAUCGAACAAGGCCCGCUUAGGGUGGGUUGAGGGUAGGUGGAGAAGAAGCGCCGGCUAACUACGUGCCAGCAGCCGCGGUAAUACGUAGGGCGCGAGCGUUGUCCGGAAUUAUUGGGCGUAAAGGGCUUGUAGGCGGCUUGUUGCGCCUGCUGUGAAAACGCGGGGCUUAACUUCGCGCGUGCAGUGGGUACGGGCAGGCUUGAGUGUGGUAGGGGUGACUGGAAUUCCAGGUGUAGCGGUGGAAUGCGCAGAUAUCUGGAGAAACACCGAUGGCGAAGGCAGGUCACUGGGCCAUUACUGACGCUGAGGAGCGAAAGCAUGGGUAGCGAACAGG
rnacentral:rRNA from 1 species